AACGAACGCUGGCGGCAUGCCUAACCCAUGCAAGUCGAACGAGGCCUUCGGGUCUAGUGGCGCACGGGUGCGUAACGCGUGGGAGCCUGCCCUUAGGUUCGGAAUAACUCCCCGAAAGGGGUGCUAAUACCGGAUAAUGUCUUCGGACCAAAGAUUUAUCGCCUUUGGAUGGGCCCGCGUUGGAUUAGCUAGUUGGUAGGGUAAAAGCCUACCAAGGCGACGAUCCAUAGCUGGUCUGAGAGGAUGAUCAGCCACACUGGGACUGAGACACGGCCCAGACUCCUACGGGAAGCAGCAGUGGGGAAUAUUGGACAAUGGGCGAAAGCCUGAUCCAGCAAUGCCGCGUGAGUGAUGAAGGCCUUAGGGUUGUAAAGCUCUUUUACCCGGGAUGAUAAUGACAGUACCGGGAGAAUAAGCUCCGGCUAACUCCGUG
rnacentral:rRNA from 1 species